CAGUAGCCGCGGGAAUACGGAGGAACCAAGCGUUAUCCGGAAUCAUUGGGUUUAAAGGGUCCGUAGGCGGUCUUGUAAGUCAGUGGUGAAAGCCCAUCGCUCAACGGUGGAACGGCCAUUGAUACUGCAGGACUUGAAUUAUUGGGAAGUAACUAGAAUAUGUAGUGUAGCGGUGAAAUGCUUAGAGAUUACAUGGAAUACCAAUUGCGAAGGCAGGUUACUACCAAUUGAUUGACGCUGAUGGACGAAAGCGUGGGUAGCGAACAGGAUUAGAUACCCCAGUAGUCCCUGUCUCUUAUAA
rnacentral:rRNA from 1 species